GAUGAAGAACGUAGCGAAAUGCGAUAAGUAGUGUGAAUUGCAGAAUUCAGUGAAUCAUCGAAUCUUUGAACGCACAAUGCGCCCUUUGGUAUUCCAAAGGGCAUGCCUGUUCGAGCGUCAUUUGUACCCUCAAGCUUUGCUUGGUGUUGGGCGUCUUGUCUCUAGCUUUGCUGGAGACUCGCCUUAAAGUAAUUGGCAGCCGGCCUACUGGUUUCGGAGCGCAGCACAAGUCGCACUCUCUAUCAGCAAAGGUCUAGCAUCCAUUAAGCCUUUUUUUUCAACUUUUGACCUCGGAUCAGGUAGGGAUACCCGCUGAACUUAAGCAUAUCAAUAAGCGGAGGA
rnacentral:misc_RNA from 1 species